GAGGGUAGAGCUCAGGGAUAGAGCACGUGCUUAGCGUGCACGAGACUCUGGGUUCAAUCCCCAGGACCUCUG
rnacentral:tRNA from 1 species